CUAAAUCUUCAGUCAAUGAGUACAAUGCCAUUUGUGAGCACAAACAUUUGGAGGACUCUGCUUUUACCAGAGGAUUGUUCUAUUUGGAUAGGGUAAGGAAUUCUUCCCAAUAAUGUCAUAGAGAUUACAUCUUCAGAUUUUGGAAGCAGUAUGAAGAUGAUUUACUGAUUUAGGAACUGGGUGGAGCAGACCACAAAGGGAUAAAUAGAAAACAUCUGGAAUGAACUAUUUGAGAGAAGCAAAGGGAAAAAAAGAGUAUGGUUUGCAAGUGAAACAAAGUACAGAUGAUUUGGCUUGAUUUAGGCCAAGCCAAACACACACAUUAAACAUUGCACUUGGCCACAGUGAAUGGAGGGAGCAGUGGCCAACAUUGCAUCAGACACACAUUGUGGAUGGAGGAAAUGAGGUUUCUGAAUCCUGCAUUCAAAUCAGAACAACAAAGCUGCAGGCUGUGGGCAUUAUUUGUGUUUCCAGAAUGGAUCUGAGAGUGUGAGUGAUCCUGGGUGAGAUAAGGAAAGCCAAUC